AAGAGACAAACAAUAACGCUGAGGGCUUUUUCCAAAAACUCCAGGGAGCCCUAAAAGCUAUUUUUUCUCUCAUCUUCCUCGCGUAACAACAACAAUACGCUCAAACAUUUCAUCUAUUUUUCAGAUAAAGAGUUUCACGGUUAUGUUUGGUGUUCGCAAAGGUUUUCUGUUCAGAAUCGAAUUGCUACUCAGUUUUGUUUUGGUUCUAGUUUAGAGGUUUCGACUCAGUGCAGAGUUUGGAUUCGAGCAGAGCUUUUUCACAGUACAGAUUUUGUAUCCGAGCCAAGUUUUUGGUACAGUUUGAUUGUGAUUCGAUUUCGGUGCAGUUGUUGGUUUGAAUUAAAAUUAAAGUGAGUAUACAACAUAAUAAAGCUAAAUUGGAUGAGAGCUUACCGGUUGAAAUGAAGAAAAAUGCAGAAUUUGUCCUCGCUCGCAAGGUGUUCGAUGAAAUGUGCCAACCGAAUUCCUUUUGUGGCGAAGUUAGCGGUGAGAGAGGAAUUUGAUUUAGUUGAUGUUAACGGCUCAACGAAAUCGAGGAAUGUUGAUUGUAUGAGUAUUGUGGAUGAUGAUAAAGGACUUGGUCCUACUGUUCCUUCUCAGAACGAAAGCGAAGGAAGAUAGCUCGGAGAAGGAGAAGUCUCUCGAUCUCUUUCUGAAGAUCGGCUUAGACGAACGCACAGCUCGAAACACCAUCGCCAACAACAAAGUCACUACUAAUCUCACUGCUGUUAUCCACGAGGCCGGUGUUACCGACGGAUGCAGCCGAUCAGUUGGGAACCUUAUUUAUACGGUGAGUUACAAUGAAGCAGAAGUGGUUGUGAUUGGAUUUUGGAGUGGAUUUGCUUGGUUGGCUGGAAUGACCGUGCUCAUUGCUAUAUUGUCUGAAUAUGUGGUGGAUACAAUUGAGUUAUGCAUAAGUCAGGAGCAUGUUUGGAUUGACUUAUUGUAAGGAUGCAUCAGAUUCAUGGGGUUUAUCUGUGAGCUUCCUCAGCAUAAUCUUGCUACCUAUAGUUGUUCCUGAAUGAUACCAUGGUGAGUGGUCAAAUGUUCACAUAAUGUGAUACAAAGAUGAAGUAAAGACAUCUUUAGAGAUUUCAGUUAAUCAUAUUCACAAGAGAUUUAUAAGUAUACAUACAAGAGAAACAUGAUUCCAUAAUAUCAGAAUCAAAUUGGCAUCCAAGCCAAGGGAACUAUGAGAGGCUAAUGAAGAUGAACGAAUAACGGCAUAAUCAUAGUCAUCAUUCCCCCUUAACUUGAUGCAUAGAUAUUAGAUGCAUCCAACUUAUUACAUAUGAAAGCUAUCCUAGGACCCAAUAAAGAUUCGGUAAACAUGUCAGCAACUUUUCAACACUUAUAUGGUUUCUCUAAUUGCCAUUUUUAAUCUUGUAAAAAAUGUUGAUGCAAGUGCUACACCAAGAUAUUGCAGCUGCUAUUUCGAAUAUUUCGCUUGAUGGGCUAAAUGUUUCAGUUCAUUUGAUGCAAUGGGAGUGUUUGAGAGCUUUACCCUUUCAGAUUGGUGUUAUAGUAAUCAACAUUGUUUGGAGUUAGCCAAAAAGCAUAUGAGCAGUAGAAGGGACUAUGUAACUGCAUUCGUCAAUGUACUUCGGUCUCAUCGGUGAUGGUCAACCUAUUGGAUGCUACGAAGACAUGUGGAUUUUGAAUCAACCUUUUUUUAAUCCACACUCUAUCCAUGACGCAAUACCCGUUUCCACCAUCGAAAACCCUAGCUUCUAUGAUUCCACUUCUUCAACAUCAUCAUCAUCAUCAUCAUCAUCAGAUGAAGAUUCACGGCGCGAGAGUUCGAAAUCGAGAGCCAAGUACGAGGACGAACAUGCUCGUUUGCUUCACGCCUCACUCACUCAUGUGAUGAAGCUGGGAUGGACAGAAGCUGCGUUAAUUGCUGGAGCGAAGGAUGUUGGUCUUUCUCCUUCUAUUGUUGGAUCUUUGUCAAGGAAGGAAGCUGCAUUGGUUGAGGUACAUUUCCAUCUCUAUCUUAGUUUUUAGUAAUGGAAUUUAAUAGUAAUUGGUAAAGGAAUUAUGAGAAAAAGAAAAGAUAGUUAAAGUUGAGAGAAAAGCAAUUAAAGGAAAAGUUAAUUACUGUAUUAAACAUCUUUUGUUUAAGUUUAGUUCAGAUUAUUUAAUUCAGUCAGUUAAAAUAAUUGCUGAUUAUCUGUUAGUAUGAUUUAAGUAGAGUAGUUGUUAAAGUAUAGAGAACAGUUCAAUCCUCAGUCAUAGUUAGAAGGACUAUAGUUAGUUUUGUGAGAUAAUUCAAUUGUUGAGGUUUUUACUGAUUUUGUUGUUAAACUUGUCGUGUUCAAUGGAAAGACCUUCAAUCAAGUUGAAACUCACUGUAGGCAUUCAUUUCCAUGAUGAAACGAUAAAACAAUAUUAUUCUGACGUUGCUUCAGUUUUUGAUUCA